rnacentral:rRNA from 1 species
GUUUGAUUCUGGCGUCAGGACGAACGGCCUGGCGGCGUGCUUAACACAUGCAAGUCGAGCGAUGAAGCUCUUCGGAAGUGGAUUAGCGGCGGACGGGUGAGUAACACGUGGGUAACCUGCCUCAUAGAGGGGAAUAGCCUUCCGAAAGGAAGAUUAAUACCGCAUAAGAUUGUAAUAUCGCAUGAUAUAGCAAUUAAAGGAGCAAUCCGCUAUGAGAUGGACCCGCGUCGCAUUAGCUAGUUGGUGAGGUAACGGCUCACCAAGGCGACGAUGCGUAGCCGACCUGAGAGGGUGAUCGGCCACAUUGGGACUGAGACACGGCCCAGACUCCUACGGGAGGCAGCAGUGGGGAAUAUUGCACAAUGGGGGAAACCCUGAUGCAAGCAACGCCGCGUGAGUGAUGACGGUCUUCGGAUUGUAAAGCUCUGUCUUCAGGGACGAUAAUGACGGUACCUGAGGAGGAAGCCACGGCUAACUACGUGCCAGCCGCCGC